UAAAAGUGUAAUCAAAAGAUAAAAAUACAAAAUCCAAUAUAAGAAUAUUUGUUGACGAUCAUAAAACUUAUAUUAAGCUCAACCAAUAAUUACACACGCUUGGUAAAUUAUAUUUUUCUUAAGAAAUCACUACCACUUUUAAACACUUGUUAACAAAUUUUUGAGAUGGCAAUUGAAUAUAUUUAUUUAAGAAACAUAUUCAUUGUACAUUGUUGAUAACGUAUUGUUAUUAAGACGGACGUACUUAUAAUUGAAACGCCACUACUUGACAAUUCGAAUAUAAAUAAAUGCCAUAUUCUGUAAAUUUGGAAACAAACAAAUACCGAAAAUUGAAGUUUUGACGUACAAAGAGAUUUAACACUAGUGUUGGAAUAACUAAAUAAUGGUUUAAUUGAUUCUUUAGAGCAAUAUAAAAUGUCUUUUUCUUCUUGUUCAUUUUUUGAUAGUAACAUUCUUAUAAACAAAUUUUAUUAAACACAACUUCUUUAACGCUAAAGAUCGAAUUAGCUACUAAAAAUAAUUUGCACUUUUUUUUGUUAAAUCAAAUGCAAAAUGUCUAUAAAACAAGAAUAUAAAAACGUGUUUUGAAUCCAUUAUAAAAAUUUUGCAUUUAAUCUGCUUU